GACCCAGUGUGGUGCAGUGGUUAGUGUGUCAGACCGGUGUGUCAGACCAGGUUCUAAUCUGGUAGAGUUCAGGGUUCAAAUCCCUACUUGGCCA